UUUAAUUGAAGAGUUUGAUCAUGGCUCAGAUUGAACGCUGGCGGCAGGCCUAACACAUGCAAGUCGAGCGGCAGCACAGAGAAACUUGUUUCUCGGGUGGCGAGCGGCGGACGGGGGAGUAAUGCAUGGGAAAUUGCCCUGAGGGGGGGG
rnacentral:rRNA from 1 species